AGUUGCUAGUAAUCGCGAACCAGAAUGUCGCGGUGAAUGCGUUCCCGGGUCUUGUACACACCGCCCGUCACACCAUGAGAGUUGGGAAUACCCGAAGCCUGUGAGCUAACUUUUAGAGGCAGCAGUCGAAGGUAGAAUCAAUGAUUGGGGUGAAGUCGUAACAAGGUAAC
rnacentral:rRNA from 1 species